rnacentral:rRNA from 1 species
AACGAACGCUGGCGGCAGGCUUAACACAUGCAAGUCGAACGCCCCGCAAGGGGAGUGGCAGACGGGAGAGUAACACGUGGGAACGUGCCCUUCGCUUCGGGAUAGCCUCGGGAAACUGGGAGUAAUACCGAAUACGCCGUAUUGGGAAAGAUAUAUCGGCAAAGGAUCGGCCCGCGUUGGAUUAGCUAGUUGGCGGUGUAAUGGACCACCAAGGCUACGAUCCAUAGCUGGUCUGAGAGGACGACCAGCCACACUGGGACUGAGACACGGCCCAGACUCCUACGGGAGGCAGCAGUGGGAAUCUUGGACAAUGGGACGCAAGCCUGAUCAGCCAUGCCGCGUGAGUGAAGAAGGCCUUAGGGUUGUAAAACUCUUUACGCCGGUGAAGAUAAUGACGGUAACCGGAGAAGAAGCCCCGGCUAACUUCGUGCCAGCAGCCGCGGUAAU